CUGAGUUUUGAGUGUAGUUUCUAGCUGGUACAGUGGAGGGUUUGUUUUCGGAUGUAGCUGCAUAUUUUUAUUCAAAUAGUUUAGCGAAAGCAACUGCCUUACUCAAGUUUCUAGGCUCCAUGGCUUGCAUAUAAUAGUCAUUAACAGAAGCAGAUUGUUGUAAUUUAAACAAGGUAGCACGAGGGCAAUCAUAAGCUGAAAGGCCAAAAUAAAGUUCAAGAGCUCUAGUAAGAGCUGUCCAAGACAGGAAUGGGUGGCUAAAUUGUCUACUGGUGACUCUAGAUAUGACAGAACAGGAUGAAUCAUCAAUCACCGCAUACGAUGCAACUGUUAAAGAUACGGAGGUUUUUUGAUCUGUAUGGAGUUGGCUCAUGUAAAGCCUUUGAAACACCCAACAUUGUAAAGGAACUUGAUCUAUAGGUGAGUACCUGCUAAACUGUGUUUAUUCAAAAUAAAUAUUACAUAAUCUGUUAUUUCUUGCUUCUGUGGUAAUAUAUCUGUAACGGAUAAAGUGGAUUCUAGGGACGAACAGCU